rnacentral:rRNA from 14 species
AACAUCUAAGUACCCGGAGGAAAAGAAAUCAACCGAGAUUUUCCUAGUAGCGGCGAGCGAACGGGAAACAGCCUGCAAGUGAUAUUUAACGUUUUAGUGGAACAGUCUGGAAAGUCUGGCCAUAGACGGUGAUAGCCCCGUACACGAAAACUAUCCAAGUGUUACUCGAGUAGAACGGAACACGUGAAAUUCUGUUUGAAGAUGGGGGGACCAUCCUCCAAGGCUAAAUACUACCUGCCGACCGAUAGUGAACCAGUACCGUGAGGGAAAGGCGAAAAGAACCCCGGAGAGGGGAGUGAAAUAGAACCUGAAACCGCAUGCGUACAAGCAGUGGGAGCAUCUUUACGAUGUGACUGCGUACCUUUUGUAUAAUGGGUC